CCAGGAGAUCAAGGCCAGGCAGGUGAUAGGUGCCAAGCUUCUUUCUUGUGCAAAUUAAGUUCUUAUUCCUCCUCAGCCAGGUGCUAUUCCUAGAUUUUCUCCUCAGCAAUUACUCUGAAUGAAAGUGCUGUUACUAACCAAAUACUGCAUGCUCUGACAUCGGUUGCUUGGCCACCUAGCAUAUGUCCCCCUCCCUAUCAGAAAGCAGCUGCAGCCGGGAUGAGCGGAAAAAGCGGCACCAAAGACAGUUUACUUUCUUGUGACUUACUGACCACUAACAUUCUAUCUAGUCAUUUCUAGAUUAUAGUUUGAGCACAUAAAUUCCCUAAUUGAUCUUAGCCUUCAGUUGACCUUACCAGAGAGCUCCCCUUCAGUCACUCCCCUUUUGGGUUGUAAUUGGAAGCUGACAUUUAUUGCUUUAUGUGUGGGUCCUUAUCACCUCUCUCUGCGACCCUGAAAACUUCAAGCCUCACACUGCAUUGCUUUACCAAAGAACUACUGUGUGGGUAUACUUACUGGUUCUCUGAGAGCACUGGGAAUAGGAUGGAUGGAGAAGAGCAAAGAUGAGGAUGGAGAUGGAAAGAACUAAGUAGAAUGAUGAGAGAACAGCAGAAGGAACUGAGAGCAGGAGGGACAGAGAGGAGCUAAGUAAGAGAGCAGAAAAGAAACUGUGUAGAUAGAAUUGACUGAGAAGAAUAAAGUGAAUGGACUAAAGAACUCAAUGUUCUUAGGUUCACUGAAUGUCCCUCAGAUUAGAAUCCUCAGCUGGUUGGUAGACUCUUCCGCAGACCCUGGGAGCAAACAAUAUAGGCUGGACCUAUUGUUUGCAUUAUUUAAGGUAAGGGUUAGCAUCUUUAUGUAAAUGUUCAGAUGUUAAAUACUUUAGGCUUUUAAUGCCAAAUAGUAUCUGUCACAGCCACUGUUAUUAUAUUGGCAACAGCUGCUACAGAUAAGCAAAUGAAUGAGCAGUGGCCAUGUUAUAGCAAAGCUUUAUUUGUCAAAACAAGAACAAUGGAGAAUGUAACUGAGUUGCAGCACACUUGCCUAGCAUAGCCAUGACCAUGGGUUUAAUAACUCAUGGUACUACCAAACAAAGCUGUAAGAACAAUAGGAAUGGGCAUGUGGUGAGGAGCAUGGGGGCAUCAGGCCAGAUUAGUCCUACAGCCAUAAUCUGCCACCCCUGACUUAUUUUCUGUUCUCCCCACACAGAAAUUGUACUUUCACAUUGCCCAAGCUAGCUCUAAACUAAGCUCACAAGUCUCCUGUCUCAGCCUCUCAGGAGUUAGGACUACAGGCAUAUGCCACUGUGCCCAACUCUGGUUACCUUCUCAAUGCAGCUGGCACAUUUAAGCACUAUCCAUUCAUUCAGAUGUUCUAUGAAUGUCUACUAAGUACCUAUCACAUGCCUGAAGAAAUAAGUGUUAAAGAGGGAAAAUAAUAAAAUUCUGCCUUCUUUACACAUGUACACACUAGUAAGGAUAUUAUAAAAAUUCAGAUAGUAUUAUUAAUUCUUCAUACCAAAUUAUAAAUGUGAGCUGAAAAAGUUAGACAAUGUGCUGUGACUGGUGGUACACACCUUUAAUCCCAGAACUCUCUGUAGAUCCGAGGCCAGUUUGAUCUACAUAGUGAGUUCCAGGCACACAGUGACACCCUGUUUCAAAAAACCAAUAAAUACAGGCUGGAGAGAUGGCCCACUGGUUAAGAGCACUAACCCACAUACCAUGACUACUUUAUUAAUUUCACAAUUCUUUGGGCACUAUCCAGAAAUCAAAUAUAGUGUGGGGCCAGCAAGAUAGUUCACUGGUUAAAUGUGCGUGCAGCCAAACCUGAAGAUGGAAAUUUGAUCCCUGGAACCUAUGUGGUGGAAGGAGAAAACUGACUCCUCCUCCUAAGAGUUGUCUUCUGACCUCCACAUGUGCACCAUAGUGUACACACACACACACACACACACACACACACACACACACACACACACACACCAUGGCGUGAAUGAAUGGUCUGCUUCACAUAUCCAUAAGCAGAUGAAAUGUUUGCCCCUUUGUGAUUAACAGGUAAAGCUAGAGUGCUAAUGUUCCAAACAAGGAAACUGUUGUUCCAUUCUACAGCACAAAUGUCAGGAAAACAGCACAUAACAUUUAGAAACAAUGUGAAAAUUAGGAAUCAGAAACAUGGUGCACAACACACUGCCAGGUAGUUGGCAAUAAGGAAACUGUUACCUGGGGUCAGGCUUGGGUUUAGCUCAGCAUUACAAGCUUACCUAGCAAGAACAAGAUCCUGGGUUUGAUCCUCAGCACAUCAAAAGAGAUUGCCAACGAGUGCCCACUGUGUUCUCUAGGAAUUCCACAUUUCCUCUGUUCUGUCCUCUGGGUCUCCGUUUCUAUGCAGAACAUGAUUUUCUAGGUGAAAGACACGAGGUCUACCACCGUCUGUGUUAGGUGAGCAGGACACGAGGUCUACUGCCGUCUGUGUUAGGUGAGCAGGACACGAGGUCUACUACCGUCUGUGUUAGGUGAGCAGGACACGAGGUCUACUACCGUCUGUGUUAGGUGUGUAAGACACCAGGUCUACUGCCGUCUGUGUUAGGUGUGUAAGACACCAGGUCUACUGCCGUCUGUGUUAGGUGUGUAAGACACCAGGUCUACUGCCGUCUGUGUUAGGUGUGUAGCCUGCUUCAAAGCAGCAAUGACAGCAGGAUUAAAGGAGUAAGUGCUUCACUUUUUCUUGCCUAAUCCACCAAAUAUUCCUUACUACAUACCCUCAUAUUAUGUUCAGAUUGAACUGCUCACCGUGUUAGUGUGUGUAGGAUGUGUGGGUGGGUGUGUGAUGUAUGUGUGCAUACACAUUCACAUACGUGACUGCAGGCACAUGUGUGCCACAGUGUACGUACAGAAGUCAGAGGCCAACCUCAGGUGUUUGUCCCACCUUCUACUUGGUUUGAGAUGAGUUUCUUUGUUGUCUUUCCACUGUGUGGACCAGGCUAACUGGCCCUAAGCUUCCGGGAUUUUGCUGUCUCCACCUCCCAUCUCCUCGAAUUGCAGACACUACACUACAUGACCAGUUUUUAUUUUAAGACUUUUUAAAUUAAAAAGAUUCAUUUGAUGUGUAUGAGUAUUCUGCCUGAAUGUAUGUCUGUGCACCUCAAGUGUGCCUGGUGCCCAAGGAAGCCAGAAGAGGAUAUUAGCUUCCCUGGAACUGGAAUUACAGAUGGUUGUGAGCCCUUGUUUGGAUGCUGGGAGCCAAACCCAGAUCCUAUCAGAACAAGUGCUCUUAGCUGCUGAACUACCUAUCCAGCCCCCACACAGCCAGUUUUUAUGUGGGUUUUCGGGAUUCAAACCCAGGUCCUCACACUUGUGCAACAGUCACUGUCACCCACCAAACUAUCCCCAGCCCUUGCACAUGCUCUCCAUUUUUCCUACCCCACACCUGCUAUGAACUUUGAAUAUACCAUAAAGCUGCCCUUCAUCUAAGUCUAGAAUAAUCACUUUGUUCAAAAGCAGCAAAAUAGCAUCUUAAGAAGCCUGCCAGAGGCUGGGAGUGGUGGUGCACGCUUUUAAUCCCAGCACUCAGGAGGCAGAAACAAGCAGAUUUCUGUGAGUUCAAGGCCAGUCUGGUCUACACAAUGAGACCCUGUCUAAAAAAAGGGGUGGGGGGCUGGAAUCUGGCAGGGUAGCAGUGGUUUAUUAUGAUUACUGCAACACAUAUCUCACCAUGACUCAGUCUGUGAGGAAGACACUGCAGCAGUAGGAAACAAAAGGAACGUGAAAGACAUCCCAUCCCCAAUGGAUGGAAGAGCAGGCCCAAAGCCUGGUGAUAAAACAGUGGCCACAUUUCAACAAGGAAAGAGACCCACCCGCUCCAUUCUCUGUUCCUCCUCCUGAAGGAGCCACGAUCCUACCUGACCCCAGCCUCCCAGGUCCUCCUCACUCUGGUAUAAUGAAAGCACCCAACAUGGCCCCGCUUCCUCCUGGGAUGAUGCCUGUGGGACCUGCCCCUACAAUGAGGCCACCCUGGAAGACCACAUGCCCUUGCUGCCCAGGCCUCCAAUGAUGAGAUGGUGCUCGCCUGGCAUGGCAUGCAUGACUCAGAUAAGGGCAGGGGGUUAUCAGGGCUGUUUGUCUGUUUCACUAGGAGAUAUGGGGCUGCACCUGGAUGUUUUAUAGUGGCAUGACAAGGAAAACCUCUCCCCCUAUCUAGCAUAGGGAACAGUUUUGGAGGGGAGAAGAGGGAUUUUUUUUUUUUUUUUUUUUUUUUUUUGGUUUUUCGAGACAGAGUUUCUCUGUGUAGCUUUGCACCUUUCCUGGAUCUCACUCUGUAGACCAGGCUGGCCUCGAACUCACAGAAAUCCCACCUGCCUCUGCCUCCCGAGUGCUGGGAUUAAAGGCGUGCGCCACCACCGCCCGGCAAGUAGUUUCAUUUGUAUCGUGAACUGUGAGAAUAAAAAUGUUAGCUCUUUUAGUUUAAAAAGAAAAAACUGUCCACAGUGGCUUACUCACUUCUGUUUGUAAAUAUAACGUCCUUACAUCAUACAUAUCUAUGAUAUGUUCCCUUUUAUUAAAGAUGGAUGGGCUGGUGAGAUGGCUCAGCAGGUAGGGACACCUGCUGCCAAGCCUGAGCAUCUGGAUUAGACCCCCAGAACCCAUCCGGUGGCGCACACCUUUCCUCAGCACUCAGGAGGCAGAUGCAGAUGGAUCCUGUGAGUUCCAGGCCAGCCAAGACUAUAUAAUGAGACCCAUCUCAAACACAAAAGCAACUCCACAUGGUGGAAGAAGAGAGCCGACUCAUUCAAUAAGUGAUCUUCUGACCUAUGCACACACAAUAAACAGAUAUAUGAAUAUAAAAUUUAAAGAGUAGACAUUCUCUACUUAAAAAUCAUAUUUGCCCAGGUGGUGGUGGUACACGCCUUUAAUCCCAGCACUCGGGAGGCAGAGGCAGGUAGAUCUUUGUGAGUUCGAGGCCAGCCUGAUCUACAGAGCAAGUUCCAGGACAGGCUCUAAAGCUACACAGAGAAACCAAACCCUGUCUCAAAAAAAAAAAAAAAAAACAAAAAUAAAUAAAUAAAUUACAUUUGCACUCUACGUUUUCAUAAGAAUCAGACAUUUGGGGCUAGAGAGCUGUCUCAGUGGUCAAGAGUGUGCACUGCUCUUUCAGGGGACCUGAGUUCCGAUCCCGGCAACCCCCAUCAGGCAGCUCACAACUAGCUGUAGCUCCAGUUCCAGGGGAUCCAACAUCCCUAGCCUCUCCAGGCACCUGCAUUCACCUGCACAGGCACACAUAAAUACAUACAAUAAAAAAGUGAUUUGAGACAGAAGUCACCCUGAGCACACGUUCCAGUCUCGCUGACAAGGCUUCUCUCCUGGCACUCCGACCAAUCACUGCAGAGCCUGUGCUGCCCUACGCCACUCGUGGAAGCGCUGCCCACUGUAGGUGCCAAAAGUCAUGCUGGCUUUACAACCCAGACCCUCUCGGGAAACCUGAGUAUCUGCAUCUUACUUAGCAACAUAUUUCAAAUGAAAUAAAAGAGACAGCUUGCAAACAA